UCGGCUGGAUGAGGCAUGCAAGUCGCGCGGUAAGGCUCCUUCGGGAGUACACGAGCGGCGAAAGGGAGAGUAACGCGUGGAUUAUCUACCCUGGGGUCCGGAAUAGCUGCGGGAAACUGCAGGUAAUGCCGGAUAAUAUCUACGGAUCAAAGGUGUGAUUCCGCCCUUGGAGGAGUCCGCGUCCUAUUAGCUUGUUGGUGGGGUAAUGGCCUACCAAGGCGACGAUGGGUACCGGGUGUGAGAGCAUGACCCGGCUCACUGGGACUGAGACACUGCCCAGACACCUACGGGUGGCUGCAGUCGAGAAUCUUCGGCAAUGGGCGCAAGCCUGACCGAGCGACGCCGCGUGCGGGAUGAAGGCCUUCGGGUUGUAAACCGCUGUCGUAGAGGAGGAAAUGUGGUGGGGUUCUCCCCAUCAUUUGACCUAGUCUAGGAGGAAGGACGGGCUAAGUUCGUGCCAGCAGCCGCGGUAAGACGAACCGUCCAAACGUUAUUCGGAAUUACUGGGCUUAAAGGGAGCGUAGGCUGCGCGGUAAGUCAGAUGUGAAAUCUGGGGGCUCAACCCCCAAACUGCAUUCGAUACUGCCGUGCUAGAGUAAUGGAGGGGUAACUGGAAUUCUCAGUGUAGCAGUGAAAUGCGUAGAUAUUGAGAGGAAGACCAAUGGCGAAAGCAGGUUACUGGACAUUUACUGACGCUGAGGCUCGAAGGCUAGGGGAGCAAAAGGGAUUAGAUACCCCUGUAGUCCUAGCAGUAAACGAUGUGCGCUUGGUGUGGGAGGGUUCGACCCCUUCUGUGCCGGAGCUAACGCGUUAAGCGCACCGCCUGGGGAGUACGGUCGCAAGACUAAAACUCAAAGAAAUUGACGGGGACCCGCACAAGCGGUGGAGUAUGUGGCUUAAUUCGAUGCAACGCGAAGAACCUUACCUAGGCUUGACAUGUAUCGCUAAGCUGCCGAAAAGCAGUGAGCCUUCGGGCGCUUUACACAGGUGCUGCAUGGCCGUCGUCAGCUCGUGUCGUGAGAUGUUCGGUUAAGUCCGGCAACGAGCGCAACCCCUGUGAAUAGUUACUAACACGUAAUGGUGAGGACUUUAUUCAGACUGCCCAGAUCAACUGGGAGGAAGGUGGGGAUGACGUCAGGUCAGUAUGGCCCUUACGCCUAGGGCUGCACACGUACUACAAUGCUCAGUACAAUGAGAUCCGAAACCGCGAGGUGGAGGGAAUCUACAAAACUGGGCUCAGUUCGGAUUGGAGGCUGCAACUCGCCUCCAUGAAGUUGGAAUCGCUAGUAAUGGCACAUCAGCUACGGUGCCGUGAAUACGUUCCCGGGUCUUGUACACACCGCCCGUCACAUCAUGGAAGCCGAUCGCACCCGAAGUGCCUGCGUCAACAAUGGCAGGGCCCUAAGGUGUAGUUGGUAACUGGGAUGAAGUCGUAACAAGGUAACCGUA
rnacentral:rRNA from 1 species